GCGUUGUCUGUUGUGUGGUGCGGUGGGUGUGUGCCUUCUCGGACAAGGUAUUUAGGGUCAUGGGUAAACAGGACUCCCGAAGCUAUACCCAGUCUCCUUCCAACUGCCCAAUAGACUUUGUCCCCGUGGUGAGCCUGGCUGUGUUUGCCUUUCCUCGGGCGCGGCGUUGAUACGAAGCGAGGUUCGUGAACCUCUGGGCGCUCACUUGGCUUAUGCAUAAUACCCCCGGUGGCUGGAGGACGAAAACUCGAGCUCUCCUGUGUAAGGACUUUCUCGGCCCCUUUGGAAUGCUGGAAUGCUUACUUGGGAAGGUUCGCAUCAACUACAUGUUUAGAUAAGGAGUCUUGCGUUCACGGCCCCAGCACCCGCCAGCAAUUUGUGUGCUGCUCACGACACCAGUGAGAGGGACGGAGAGAAAUCUGCCACCACGUCGACAUUAACGAGAGAGUGAAAGUGGAAGGCAGCGCUGAGCUGCCUGUCGCGGGGAGGCACAAUGCAGACAGCUGGUGGUGGUGGUGGCGGAGACGUAGCGGCCACCCAGCAGGAGACACACAAAGGGACUGACCCACCACGUGUCGCGCUGCUGUUGCUGCUACUGAAGGCUGUGAUGACUGACAGGGGACGGGAAGGGUCGACAGGAAGACGCCCAUUAUGAGUACAUUAUUCUGUAUCAUGUUUUGUAUGAAUAGGACUGUAUUAAAUUUUGUGCGCGCGUAUACACACACACACACACACACACACACACACACACACACACACACACACACACACACA